rnacentral:rRNA from 1 species
CCUACGGGAGGCAGCAGUGAGGAAUAUUGGUCAAUGGCCGGAAGGCUGAACCAGCCAUGCCGCGUGAAGGUCAGUGCCCUAUGGGCGUUAAACUUCUUUUGUGCGGGAGCAAUAAUGGUCACGUGUGGCCAGACGAGAGUACCGUACGAAUAAGCAUCGGCUAACUCCGUGGCAGCAGCCGCGGUAAUACGGGGGAUGCAAGCGUUUUCCGGGUUUAUUGGGUUUAAAGGGUGCGUAGGCUGUGAGGUAAGUCAGCGGUGAAAUGCCCCCGCUCAACGGGGUGAAGUGCCAUUGAUACUGCCUUGCUUGAAUGCGGAUGCCGUGAGAGGAAUGUGUGGUGUAGCGGUGAAAUGCAUAGAUAUCACACAGAACACCGAUUGCGAAGGCAUCUCACGAAUCCGCGAUUGACGCUGAUGCACGAAAGCGUGGGUAUCAAACAGGAUUAGAUACCCCAGUAGUC